GGGGAAUAUUGGACAAUGGGCGCAAGCCUGAUCCAGCCAUGCCGCGUGGGUGAAGAAGGCCUUCGGGUUGUAAAGCCCUUUUGUUGGGAAAGAAAAGCAGCCGGCCAAUACCCGGUUGUUCUGACGGUACCCAAAGAAUAAGCACCGGCUAACUUCGUGCCAGCAGCCGCGGUAAUACGAAGGGUGCAAGCGUUACUCGGAAUUACUGGGCGUAAAGCGUGCGUAGGUGGUGGUUUAAGUCCGUUGUGAAAACUCGAGGCUCAACCUCGGGCUUGCAGUGGGUACGGGCUGACUAGAGUGCGGUAGGGGUGACUGGAAUUCCUGGUGUAGCGGUGGAAUGCGCAGAUAUCAGGAGGAACACCGAUGGCGAAGGCAGGUCACUGGGCCGCAACUGACGCUGAGGAGCGAAAGCAUGGGGAGCGAACA
rnacentral:rRNA from 1 species